rnacentral:rRNA from 1 species
AGCCUGAAUCAGUGUGUGUGUUAGUGGAAGCGUCUGGAAAGGCGCGCGAUACAGGGUGACAGCCCCGUACACAAAAAUGCACAUGCUGUGAGCUCGAUGAGUAGGGCGGGACACGUGGUAUCCUGUCUGAAUAUGGGGGGACCAUCCUCCAAGGCUAAAUACUCCUGACUGACCGAUAGUGAACCAGUACCGUGAGGGAAAGGCGAAAAGAACCCCGGCGAGGGGAGUGAAAAAGAACCUGAAACCGUGUACGUACAAGCAGUGGGAGCACAGAGCAAUCUGUGUGACUGCGUACCUUUUGUAUAAUGGGUCAGCGACUUAUAUUCUGUAGCAAGGUUAACCGAAUAGGGGAGCCGAAGGGAAACCGAGUCUUAACUGGGCGUUAAGUUGCAGGGUAUAGACCCGAAACCCGGUGAUCUAGCCAUGGGCAGGUUGAAGGUUGGGUAACACUAACUGGAGGACCGAACCGACUAAUGUUGAAAAAUUAGCGGAUGACUUGUGGCUGGGGGUGAAAGGCCAAUCAAACCGGGAGAUAGCUGGUUCUCCCCGAAAGCUAUUUAGGUAGCGCCUCGUGAAUUCAUCUCCGGGGGUAGAGCACUGUUUCGGCAAGGGGGUCAUCCCGACUUACCAACCCGAUGCAAACUGCGAAUACCGGAGAAUGUUAUCACGGGAGACACACGGCGGGUGCUAACGUCCGUCGUGAAGAGGGAAACAACCCAGACCGCCAGCUAAGGUCCCAAAGUCAUGGUUAAGUGGGAAACGAUGUGGGAAGGCCCAGACAGCCAGGAUGUUGGCUUAGAAGCAGCCAUCAUUUAAAGAAAGCGUAAUAGCUCACUGGUCGAGUCGGCCUGCGCGGAAGAUGUAACGGGGCUAAACCAUGCACCGAAGCUGCGGCAGCGACACUAUGUGUUGUUGGGUAGGGGAGCGUUCUGUAAGCCUGUGAAGGUGUGCUGUGAGGCAUGCUGGAGGUAUCAGAAGUGCGAAUGCUGACAUAAGUAACGAUAAAGCGGGUGAAAAGCCCGCUCGCCGGAAGACCAAGGGUUCCUGUCCAACGUUAAUCGGGGCAGGGUGAGUCGACCCCUAAGGCGAGGCCGAAAGGCGUAGUCGAUGGGAAACAGGUUAAUAUUCCUGUACUUGGUGUUACUGCGAAGGGGGGACGGAGAAGGCUAUGUUGGCCGGGCGACGGUUGUCCCGGUUUAAGCGUGUAGGCUGGUUUUCCAGGCAAAUCCGGAAAAUCAAGGCUGAGGCGUGAUGACGAGGCACUACGGUGCUGAAGCAACAAAUGCCCUGCUUCCAGGAAAAGCCUCUAAGCAUCAGGUAACAUCAAAUCGUACCCCAAACCGACACAGGUGGUCAGGUAGAGAAUACCAAGGCGCUUGAGAGAACUCGGGUGAAGGAACUAGGCAAAAUGGUGCCGUAACUUCGGGAGAAGGCACGCUGAUAUGUAGGUGAAGCGACUUGCUCGUGGAGCUGAAAUCAGUCGAAGAUACCAGCUGGCUGCAACUGUUUAUUAAAAACACAGCACUGUGCAAACACGAAAGUGGACGUAUACGGUGUGACGCCUGCCCGGUGC